AGCAGGCAAAAGCUAAGCUCCUUUGUAGACGGCAGCCUUCCUCAGCAAGCAGGAAGUAGAAGAGUUCACAAGUUCAGUGAAGAGGCCGUCCAGAGCAGGUUCCUCUGGAAACAUUAUCGCCUUCAUCAGGGAUGUAUUCAUCUUAAUGAAUAGCAGCUGCCUCCUCAGAGCUCUGGGGGAGUUUCUAACCCCAGGGGGAGGCAGAAUUCACCACUAUGCCCAUGGAGAAUUCGUGCCUACUCUGUGCUUUUGAACUGAAAGGAAAAUGAUCCUUUUGUGAGGAGAUCUGCCUCCCUCUCUCUUCACACUGAUUUAUCAGUAAGGGCUUUCACAAAAAAACCAUCAUUACAAUGGAGAAAGAUGUCAACUAACAGGAAAGUAAUUCCAGCACUCAGAAGGCAGAAGGAAGAGGAUCUCUCCAGGAAUUCCAGGGCAGCCUGGUUACAUAUAGCCACUGGAGAUGCACCACGCAAAAUGAUGAUCUGCUGCAGAAAAAGCAAAAGCAAAAAACAAAACAGAAACCAAUGGGCUUGAGACUGGAAUCCUUUAGUUGAUAGAAAUUUUAAAUAGAAAUCUUCUGAUUUUCCACUCACAUUUUCUUGGGCUGGUGAUACAGCUCAAUGAGUAUGGACCCACCGUGAAGAAGCAUUGGGUUCUAAUCCAAGCACUGCAUAAACAGGGUAUAGCAUUGCUUGCCAGUAAUUCCAGGACUCAGGAGAUAGAGGCAGGAAGAUCAGAAAUUUAGGGUCAGCUUCCACAACACGACAAGUUUGAGGCUACUUUGUGCUACAGGAGACCCUGUCUCGAAACAAACAAAAACUGAAACAAAGCACAAAACAAACAAAAUCUUUCUUUUUGUUUGGUUUUUGGCUGUCCUGGAACUAGCUCUUGUAGACCAGGCUGGUCUCAAACUCACAGAGAUCCACCUGCCUCUACCUCCUGAAUGCUGGGACUAAAGGUAUACGCCAUCAACACCCGACCAAAACAAAAUCUUACCUAAGAAUAUAUUUAUGUAGUUAUUGUGUUAGAGCUGAUUUUUUAUGUUAACAAUAAUCUUUACAUCCUUCUGCAAAAAAACACUUAGCUGUUCCCACAGCUUCAGCUAAGCCUGGUCCCCUCCUGUCAACAAGGCCUCCUCUACUACCUGCCUACUCACCUGUUUGCUUGGGCCUGGACCCACCAUCUCCUGAUCUUAGACCCUGGUGCAGCCUUUGCAAAAGAAGGAAGUUGUUACUAACUAGUGGAGCCAAAACUCUUUCCCUAACUAUUUAAAGGAAAGUAUUUUGUUCAAGCUCUCUUGAGGUUACAUGGUGAGCUUCAGAUUAGCCUGAACACAGGGGGAGACCCUGCCUCAAACAUCAGCACCAAGAACAAAGUGAAUGGCCCUCCAGAAGAAUUGAAAGCAGUGCCUGUACUAGAAUGCUCACAGUAGCAGUGUGCAGAAUAGCCAAAUGAAGGAAACCUAAAUGUCCAUCCCUGCAGCAGUGCAUAAACAAAACAUGGCCUUUUGUUUGGUCAUAAAAAGCAAUGCAACACCAAUAAAUAUUUGAGGUGAUGCUCUUAUUUGAUCAUUACACAUCAUACAUGUGUACCAGGAUAUCACACUGUAUCUCAAACAUAUAUACAAUUAUCAUGUGUCAAAUUAAAAACAAAUUAAAGUACCUUGGAGAGAGAUAAUUCAUUUGGAAAAGUGCUUGCUUUGCAAGCAUGAUGACCUGAUUCAAUCUCCAGAAUCUAUAUUAAAUAAUAAUAAUAAUAAUAAUAAUAAAAUAAUAACAAUAAGUAUGUUCAGUGGCACAUACUUGUCCAAUGCUGGGGAAGUGGAGACAGAUGGCUCCCUGGGGCUCACUUGUCAGUCAGACUAGUCUACUUGGUAAGUUCUAGGUCAGUGAGAUACUGUCUCAUUUUACAAAAAGGUGCAUGGCACCUAAGGAACUAUGCUUGAGGUUGUCCUUUGCCUUCCACAUACAUGGUGACACACAUCUGUAACCUCAGCACUUGGGAGGUAGAGGUAGAAAGAUCAAGAAUUUAAGGUCAUUCAUGGCUUUAUAGCAAGAAUGAGAUAGGGGCGAGGAGAAGGAAAAGAGAAAAGAGGAAUGGGAACAAAGACAGCAUUAGGAUUAGGAGUGAUAAGUAAAGGCAGUUGAAAAGUUAUUUUCCCCUAAACCUCCAGCCUGAUAGGGGACAAUUUUUUUUUUUCGAGACAGGGUUUCUGUGUAUUGUUUUGGAGGCUGUCCUGGAACUAGCUCUGUAGACCAGGCUGGCCUCGAACUCACAGAGAUCCGCCUGCCUUUGCCUCCCGAGUGCUGGGAUUAAAGGAAUGUACUACCAACGCCUGGCUUAGAGGACAAGUAUUGACAGCAUGACUUGUUGCAGAAGUCACCCCUUGAUCCACUCUGAAUCUCAAGGAAAAGUUAACAUGGUAGGUAAGGUGGAAUUUGGUUGGGAACUUAAAGGCACACAAUAAACAAUAUCAUAACUAUUUACAGGCAGUUAGAAAUAGCUUAGGUGUGGAGGCUUCCCACAAGGCAAGAUGAAAUACUAUCAGGAGUCAGGAGUUUUGACCCCUGGUUGAAUGAGUGAAUGACCAUAAACUUGGGCAUGCCAUGUAACUUUCUGGGUCUUGAUUUUCUCAUCUAAGUACAUCCCAGAGGAAUAGGGCAUCCCAAAUGUUUUGUGGAACAUUUAAAAGGUAAUGAUUGAUUCCCUUGGGGUAAAAAGAAGAUAACUUUGAGAUGAGCCCCAUGUUUCUCAGACUACCAUCCCUUGAGACUUGUUACUACUCCGAUGACUGGUUCCUAGUCCUAGAGUUUCUGAUCCAGGCUCUUCUUGAUGCUCAACUUGACUACAUCGAAAAUUCACUAAAACCCAAGCAGGUGAGCACAGCUGUGAAAUUUUUUCCUGACUUAAAUAAUUAGAAAUGUGAUGACUCACUUCUAAUCUGGAUCUUUGAGGUGGGACAAUAAACCCUGAAUACACAUCUUUUAAAUUUUUAUUUAUUCUUUUUAUUUUUAUUUGAGGGAGAAAGACCCACCUUUAAUCUGUACCAUGCCUUCUGCUGGCAGCUUAUGUAAAGGACAUGGAAAAAGGAAGCUCACUCUCUUUGUCAGCUUGUUCUCAUUUUCACUGGCAAGUUCAUUCCUCACUGGUAUUAGCGCCUAUGUCUUCAAGUUCCAGAUUAUACUGAUGACCAGCUGAGACAUCCAGUCUCGUGGACUGAACAGCGACUGGAUUCUCAAAUUUUCCAUUAGUAGACACCACUUUGUUCCACUAGCUGGACCAUAGUCUGUAAGCCAUUCAAAUACUGCCCCGCCCCGUGUGUGUGUGUGUGUGUGUGUGUGUGUGUGUGUGUGUGUGUGUGUGUAUGUAUUCAUAUUCAUUCUAACAAUUCUGUUCCUCUAGAGAAAUUGACUAAUACAUAUAAGACAAGAUGCAAGAAUGAAAUGCAGUUUAAAGAAGAUGUGAGUUGCAAGAGUCAGGGUUUCUGGUCCCUAGUUGAAUUACUAUAUGACUAUGAACUUGGUCAUGCCUCGUAACUGUCUGGAUCUUGGCUUUCUUGUCUAAGUACAUCCCAGAAGAAUACAACAUCCCAAAUGUCCAUGAACAUUUAAAGCCUGGCAAUUGAUUCCCUUAGGGCAAAAAGAAGGAAAAUUGGAGAGGAGACUAGUGUUUCUCAGACUGCCAUCCCUUGAGACCUGUUACCAAACCCUUCUGUUUAACUGUAACUCCUUUGACACUUGUGGACCAGGGACUACCCUUUCAACUAGCUGUAAUAAAGAUCACAACCAAAAGCAA